rnacentral:tRNA from 1 species
GAUUUUAAUAUUGUUUAAGUUGCAAACUUAAAAUUAACAUUUUUAUGUUUAAAAUUU